rnacentral:lncRNA from 1 species
CAAUUUCCUGGCUUUCACAGCAGUUCCAGCAACACCAAGCCCUCUGUCGCCGGCCGCCCCUCUUACUGCCCGAGCUGUGGGAGCUCGCUCGCCGGCCGUCUCGGUGCCUUUGGAAUAUCUGUUCAGAAAAAGCCAGUGCAAGGAACGACGGGGUGAGACGCGCCCGUGGAAGCCUGAGCAGAAUCCCAGUGCAUCGAGGUAGGGGGAUCUGAGCCCCACUCGGCUGCUAAGAAGAAACGUUCCUCCCUCCGAGAGGUGCUCAGACGCCCAGAGGGCUGCCUUUCUGAUGGGACGGUGAAUGUCUGCCUUCACUUAUGACUCGUGUGUCUCACUUAGCAAUAACGAUAACACAUUAUAGGACAGAAAGACUUUCCUCAUCUGAAUCCACUUCCUUCUUUAACAACCCCUAAUAAAUAGUAUAACUCAUUGCUUGCUUUUUCCUUCUUUUUUAGUUUUUUGAGACAGGCUCUUGCUAUAUAGUUCAGGCUGGCCUUGAACUAUGCAAUCAAACUCACAGCGAUUUUCCUGCCUUGAACUCCUGGCAAUCCUCCUGCCUCAGCCUCCUAGUGCUAGAAUUUCAGGUGUGUACCACUGUGCCCAGUGACAAAGCCUAACCUCGGAGGGGAAGGACGCUGAGUCUCAUGUUGGCAUCCAUUGUGGAAGGGGAAAGUGCCAGAGCCCAGCUACCUGUGUG